ensembl:lncRNA
GUCCGUCUAGUCAAGGCUAUGGUUUUUCCAGUGGUCAUGUAUGGACGUGAGAGUUGGACUGUGAAGAAGGCUGAGCGCCGAAGAAUUGAUGCUUCUGAACUGUGGUGUUGGAGAAGACUCUUGAGAGUCCCUUGGACUGCAAGGAGAUCCAACCAGUCCAUUCUGAAGGAGAUCAGCCCUGGGAUUUUUUGGGAAGGAAUGAUGCUAAAGCUGAAACUCCAGUGCUUUGGCCACCUCAUGCGAAGAGUUGACUCACUGGAAAAGACUCUGAUGCUGGGAGGGAUUGGGGGCAAGAGGAGAAGGGGACGACAGAGGAUGAGAUGGCUGGAUGGCAUCACUGACUCGAUGGACAUGAGUCUGAGUGAACUCCGGAGUUGGUGAUGGACAGGGAGGCCUGGUGUGCUGCGAUUCAUGGGGUCGCAAAGAUUCGGACACGACUGAGUGACUCAUCUGAUCUGAUCUGAUCUGAUAGAAAGGAAUACAUUUGAGUUGGUUCUAAUGAGGUGAAUGAACCUAGAGUCUAUUACACAAAGUGAAGUAAGUCAGAAAGAGAAAAACAAAUACCAUAUAUUAACACAUAUAUAUGGAAUCUAGCUUUGUACAUCUUGAUGGGUGUUUGUUUUAGAAGCAUUGCCCCAGGAGAGGAGAAAGAGACGAGAGUGUCUGUCUUCCUUUUGCUUUCUUGUGCCUCUGUUUCCCAACUGAUCUCCUUCAUCAGUUUGCUAUACUCCUUUGGUGAAAAUGACAUCAAACAUUCAUAGACUAGAAGUUAUUAAGACUUUAAAUCACAUGAGACUACCCAUGGGAUAAUUUUUCGAUCUGCCUUUUGCAUGUUUCAGCUUCCAGUAGUGGAUGUGCGCUGCAUACUGGAGACAUGUAACUUAUACCUGUUCCAUUCUUUUUUACUGUUUUCUUAGUCUGAGAAAAUCUCUGCUUUAGGCUUGUUAUGUGUUUGAGACAGACCAGUUAUUAGGUUUGUAUGAUGGUUAGGCUGUGGGGCAGAGAAGAAGUUCAUAGGAUAUUGAGGUGUAUAUUAAGAAAAGCAUUAUAAUAUGGUGGAAAAAACAUGGGCCCCAGAGUAUCACAGGAGCUCAGCUCUUUUACUUAUGAGCUGUGUCACUUUGAAUGAGUUAUUUAACCCACCAAGCCUUUUUUUUUUUAAUCUGUAAGAAUAAUAAUACCUGCUUUAUAGGGAUAUUGUGCAAAUUAAAUGAAAUAGCACAUUUGGUACAGUGGUACCUCUAAUGUACCACUAAUGUUGGUUGCUUAGAUUUCAUGCAGCAAGGAAAGGGGAAACUAGAAAAGAGUGGAAAUUAGAAGAUGAUAUUGGGUUUGAUCAAAAUGUUUUCAUUGUUUCCAUUCAGCAUAAUAAAAGAGUCAGCAGCAGCAGCAAGAACUGUUCAUUCUUCCUUUCAGGCCUGUUUUGCUGCUAUUACUUUAACUUCCUCACCAAAUUUUGAGUUUAAACAUUUAUUAAGAAAAGUGUCCCAGAGGUCUUGAGAAUACUAUGUCACACACACACACACACACACACACACACACACACACUAAUAUAGUUGUGAAAAAUUCAUUCCAAAAGCCUGUAGUGUGUGAAAAAUGGAGUAUACUCUCCAUUUUAUUAAUUAUUUUGAAAGAAUACUUCCUAGCAAUGUGUAAAGUUGGUAAACUCAAUAGUACUUCAAACUAUAGACUUUUCAGAACUGCUCUUAUUUACUUGAUGUGUUCUAAUGUUAUUUUCAACAAGUGUUUAUUUAUGAGUAGUAUAAAAUAAUAUGUCUACAUAUAAAAGAUUCAGGAUAGAAAAGCAGACUUUUGAAAAAUAACUGUUUGCCAGAUUAACAUAAUAAAACUUUUUGUCUACACACACACACACACACACACACAGGCAAAUUCCUUUUUCCUUGUUCUUUGCUUCUUUCCCUUUGUCCUGGCCUAACAUAUUCAGAUUUUGUUUAGAUUUUGUCAAGUAUUUUAUAGUAAUUACCCAAAAUUUUGGCAAGGAGUAAAAAAAUGUAUGCACACAAACAUAUAUAUAUACAAUGUAGACUUACAGCAUUAUGGCUUAUUUAGCUUAAACAUUUUUGGACUAAAAUUCUGAGGAAAGUUAUGUAUACACAUACAUACACACGCACACACACACACACACACACACACACAUGCUUCUCCUUUACUUAUUCUUUGUUUUGUUCCUUUUCUCCUGGCUUCUCAGAUCCAUUGUUUAGACUUUGUCAAGGACUUUAUAGUACAAUAACUAUCAUAAACUUUGGCAUAAAGGAAAAAUGUAUAUAACACCCAUAGACACAAAUAUACAUACAUAGAUACAUCAAUUGUUAAUAUGC